CAACCAGGAAGAAUGAAGCUGGAAGCUUAGUCUUCUCCAUGCGGUCAGCUAGAAAGCUUCUCUCCUUUUUCUUUUCUCGUUUGUGCCUUGGAAACGCAUUGCUUUUUUACAUAAAGAAUGGAAAGAAGAGAAACUGCCUGGAACUUUCUCUGAAUCCUGUCUGUUAGCUAUCUGUCAGUGGUUUGUAGAUGGUACGGGUAUCAGGGACAGAAUAACGAUUUUUGUACAUUUUCGAACGAAAUACUAAACUUUGACAUUUUUUGUCCAUUUUAAGACAAAAAGUUACGUUUUUUGUACAUUUUCGACGACAUACUAAACUAUGACGUUUUUGUCACAUUUUGGGCGGUAUACUAAACCAUGUCAUUUUUGUGACAUUUUGAACGUCAUACUACACUAUGAUGUCUUUGUGACAUUUUAAACGACAUACUCAACUAUCACGUUUUUGUCGUAUAAUGGCUGACAUCCUAAACUCUGACAUUUCGGACUACAUACUAAGCUAUGAUAUUUUUUGUGACAUUUUGGAUGCAAUACCAAACUAUAACCUUUUUACACAUUUUGGACGACAUACUAAACUACGACAUUUUUUGUGACAUUUUGGACAACAUACUACAAUAUAACAUUUUUGUGACAUUGUGGACGACAUACUAAACUGUGAGGUUUUUGUCAUAUUUCGGACGACAUACUCAACUGUGACAUUCUGGACGACAUACUAAACUAUGAAGUUUCUGUGACAUUUUGAAUGAAAUUCUAAACUGUGAUGUCUACGUAGCAUUUUGGACAACAUACUAAACUAUGACACUUUUGUGACAUUUCAGACGACAUACUAUGACAUUUAUGUGACAUAUUGGACGACAUACUAAACUAUGACAUUUAUGUGACAUAUUGGACGAAAUACUAAACUAUGACGUUUUCGUGAGAUUUUGGACGCCGUACUAAAUUAAGACGUUUUAGUGACAUUUUGGACCACAUACUCAACUAUGACAUUUGUGUCAAAUUUCGGACGACAUACUAAAAUAUGACAUUUUUAUGACAUUUUGGACAACAUACUAAACUAUGACGUUUCAGUGAUAUUUUAGACAACAUACUAAAAGAUCACAUUUUUGUGACAUUUUGGACUAGCAGCCUGGAGACACAUUUGAAGAGCCGAAAUUUUGUAAGUUCCUUUUUAACUCCACAACCUUAUUUGCCUUUGGUUUUUUUUUCCAUGUUCGAAGUUGCAAUCUUAACGUCAUUCAUAAUCUGCACCAAGACUGUAAUUUGUAAUUGAUGGCAUUAAUUCUGCAUUAAACAUACACAUGGUGCAAGACCAUGUACGAAUGAAUCAUGGUCACAGUGAUUACGUACAUGAUCUAAUUAGUAUUGUUGUGACAGAAGUUUUGGGUGAUUGGAGAUGUCUGUUGAUUGAGGCCAAAUUCAUAUUAGUUUCUGCAUUGAUACAUGAUAAACAGGUUGUGUGGAGUGUUCACAGAUGAGCCUUGUCUUAUGAAGAUGGAGCAGUUGUGUGGUUUAAGCAUUUAACCAAUACAGCAAAAAUGCAUGUUUCUCCCAACCCACAGUUUUAUUUUUAUUAAAGUUUAAUGAUACAGAUC